rnacentral:rRNA from 1 species
CCCUUAGAUGUUCUGGGCCGCACGCGUGCUACACUGAGUAAUUCAAUGGGUAAGGGAACGCUAGAGCAUUACCUAAUCUUGAAAUUUGCUCGUGAUGGGGAUCGUCGGUUGCAAUUUUCCGUCGUGAACGAGGAAUACCUUGUAGGCGCAUGUCAUCAUCAUGCGCCGAAUACGUCCCUGCCCUUUGUACACACCGCCCGUCGCUCCUACCGAUUGAGUGAUCCGGUGAGGCUCUGGGACCUGGACGGAAAGAGCGUUUCGCUUGUUCUGUUUGGGAAACUUGGUCGAACCUUAUCAUUUAGAGGAAGGAGAAGUCGUAACA